CAGCAGCCGCGGUAAUGCGUAGGUGGCAAGCGUUGUCCGGAAUUAUUGGGCGUAAAGGGCUCGCAGGCGGUUUCUUAAGUCUGAUGUGAAAGUCCCCGGCUCAACCGGGGAGGGUCAUUGGAAACUGGGAAACUUGAGUGCAGAAGAGGAGAGUGGAAUUCCACGUGUAGCGGUGAAAUGCGUAAAGAUGUGGAGGAACACCAGUGGCGAAGGCGACUCUCUGGUCUGUAACUGACGCUGAGGAGCGAAAGCUAGGGGAGCAAACAGGAUUAGAUACCCCGGUAGUCCCUGUCUCUUAUAC
rnacentral:rRNA from 1 species